rnacentral:rRNA from 1 species
AGCAGCCGCGGUAAUUCCAGCUCCAAUAGCGUAUAUUAAAGUUGUUGCAGUUAAAAAGCUCGUAGUUGAAUUUCGGGAUCAAAUUGUCGGUCGUGCCUCGGUACGUACUGGCGUUAUUGGUUCCUCCCUUCUGAAGAACCACGAUGUCAUUAAUUUGGUGUCGCGGGGAAUCAGGACUGUUACUUUGAAAAAAUUAGAGUGUUUAAAGCAGGCUCGCGCUUGAAUACAUUAGCAUGGAAUAAUGAAAUAGGACGUUUGAUUCUAUUUUGUUGGUUUCUAGGAUCGACGUAAUGAUUAAUAGGGAUAGUUGGGGGCAUUAGUAUUCAAUUGUCAGAGGUGAAAUUCUUGGAUUUAUUGAAGACUAACUACUGCGAAAGCAUUUGCCAAGGAUGUUUUCAUUAAUCAAGAACGAAAGUUAGGGGAUCGAAGACGAUCAGAUACCGUCGUAGUCUUAACCAUAAACUAUGCCGACUAGGGAUCGGAUGAUGUUAAUUUUUAAUGACUCAUUCGGCGCCUUACG